rnacentral:sRNA from 12 species
CCUGUGGAGCGUUACACCAAAUGCAAGUAGCUACGGCAAACGCAGACGCUUUGAAACAGGAA